rnacentral:rRNA from 1 species
AUUGAACGCUGGCGGCAGGCCUAACACAUGCAAGUCGAGCGGAUCGGCGGACGCGUGAGUGAUGCCUAGGAAUCUGCCUGGUCGUGAGGGAUAACGUCCGGAAACGGGCGCUAAUACCACAUCCUAUCAGCUGCGCAUGGGUCGGAUUAGCUAGUGGGUGGGGUAAGGGCCUACCAAGGCGACGAUCCGUAACUGGUCUGAGAGGAUGAUCAGUCACACUGGAACUGAGACACGGUCCAGACUCCUACGGGAGGCAGCAGGGGGGAAUAUUGGACAAUGGGCGAAAGCCUGAUCCAGCCAUGCCGCGUGUGUGAAGAAGGUCUUCGGAUUGUAAAGCACUUUCAGUUGGGAGGCGUUACCCACAGAAUAAGCACCGGCUAACUCCGUGCCAGCAGCCGCGGUAAUUC